AACAAGGAAAUAGAAGAGAAGACUCUUGAAAUAAGACAGCUCAAUGGAGAAGAUCUACAAGGGCUGUCUGUAAAAGAUCUGAGGAAGCUAGAAGAUUUACUUAGCACAAGCUUGCAUCGUGUUUCAAAAGCAAAGGUCGAAGUAUUUGAGCAGGAGAUCAAUGUUCUAAAGAAAAAGGUUAGCGUUAUGUUUGUUUAUCAAAAGAAUCC